UUUCAAUCAAAGGACCGGUAUCGCCCACCAUGACACAUCGUCUGCUACAACAAGAUGGCGGCUGUCAAAAUGCAUAGGGCGAAGCUAGUGAGCCCCGGAAAAUUGUAGUUUUCCCAGUAACGGAGAUUAACAGCUGGUGUCACAUAAGGCCAUAGAAUGUUUCCCAGAUCCUCUGCUUGGUGUCACUGCUCUUGCUCUGCUUUCCAAGGAACUAAAGGACCGUUAUCGCCCACCAUAAAACAUGGUCUGCUUAAACAAGAUGGCGGCUGACAAAACACAUUGGGCAAGGCUUGAGAGCCUUGAAAUAUUGUAGUUUUCGCAGUAAUAGAGGAACCAUGCCAUAAUGGGAGAUGGACUAGAGAUGAGGAGAAAUUUUUGACAGUUUGUGGAGAGCAGGGGGGUGGAAAAUAUCAAAUACACAGAGUGGAAGGACUGUGCCGAAGACCAGAGAAAUGGGUGUACAGACUGAUGUAACUUUUGGGCCUAUGAUUGAAGUGACCUGGGCAUGUAGCAGUCAUGCACUUUAUACCACUCAUUCGCAUUCCUUAAUUAGAUCUAUGUUAUCAAAUGUAUCAGUCAGUGAACCAGCCUCACCCGCCAUACGCUCACAGAUCUGCCAUGUCUCUGACAUACCUUCAACCGAUGCCACUUCUCCAUUUGGUGCCCGAACAAAACUACUCGCAACCACUUACAGUCAGUGAACCAGCCGCACCUGCUAUAUGCUCACAGACCUGCCAUGUCUCUGACAUACCGUCAACUGAUGCCACUUCUCCGUUGGUGCCUAAACAAAACUGCUUGCAACCACUUACAGUCAGUGAACCAGCCUCACCAGUUGUCUGUUGUUCAAUUAUGCUUGAGCAUAACUAAGCAAAUCAAAAGAGAACCCAAAUCUUAUCAAAGAAAAAGAUUAAAAGGCAGAAAUGAAUAAAUGCUCAAUUAUCGCAUUAACAGAUUUCUUUGCCAUUUGGCAUGGAUACUUUCACAAGUUCAGGAAAAAGCUGAGAUGGGUUAUCAAUUUGCAAAUGUUUGUUAAUGAGGUUAAUGUUCACUUGUAUAUUUUCACCAUAUAUUUGGGGCCAUUCAAAUUGGAUUGUGUGAUAUUAAUUCUAUGAUCAUGUUGUACUGUUGUUUUGUGCAGUAUCGAAGAAAGAUAUUUCAGUGUUAUAACUAUUUAUUCUUGUAACUAAUAUCAAUCCCAGCUGUAU